UCCGAGUGGUGAAAGCGUUAUUCGGAAUUAUUGGGCGUAAAGGGUGCGUAGGCGGCAUAUUAAGUCAACUGUUAAAUUCCUCGGCCUAACCGAGGCUCUGCGGUAGAUACUGAUGUGCUAGAGGGUGGAAGAGAGAAGUGGAAUUCUCGGAGUAGCGGUAAAAUGCGUAGAUCUCGAGAGGAACACCAAUGGCGAAGGCAGCUUCUUAGUCCACACCUGACGCUGAGGCACGAAAGCGUGGGGAGAAAACAGG
rnacentral:rRNA from 1 species